rnacentral:rRNA from 1 species
UGAGUAACCUGCCCCCGACUCUGGGAUAACCCCGGGAAACCGGAGCUAAUACCGGAUAUGAACCACUCAGGCAUCUGAGAGGUUGGAAAGAUUUAUCGGUCAGGGAUGGACUCGCGGCCUAUCAGCUUGUUGGUGGGGUAAUGGCCCACCAAGGCGACGACGGGUAGCCGGCCUGAGAGGGCGACCGGCCACACUGGGACUGAGACACGGCCCAGACUCCUACGGGAGGCAG